GGACACUGUGCGAUGGCUGUGCGGGGAGCUUCGCCAGGACCUGGAGAGGCGGCGUACGGACACGAGAACAGCCCCGACCGUUGUUGUUGUUUUUGUUGAGCUACAAGUGCUUUGCGCCCUUCGCUUGUUCGCCACCGGCAGUUACCACGACGCGAUCGCGAACAACGAGGACGUGGCGUCGAGUUAGUCCAGUGUGGGUCUCACGAUUCAUGCUGUCAUGGAAGCGAUCGUCGAGCGUCUCGGCAAUGAGUGGAUCGCACUCCCUGCCAAAAGGAAGGCUUUAUCCACAUAGAUGCAAGAUUUGAAGGCUGCGUUGAGGUGGUCGACGACACGUUCGUGUGCAUAAGUGCGCCGUAUGAAAAGGACGAUGGCAACAAGGCUGCUUACUUUUGCCGCAAGAACUUUUACGCCCUCAGCGUCAUGGUGGUAUGUGACCAACCCUGCCGAUGACUGCCCUCGCACUCGGGGCCCGUGCACGACGCCUUUAUGUGGAAGACAUCCACCGUGAGCCAGGACUGGGCAGUGGACGCCGUGGCCAGGUGAUAGUGCAUACUCGCUUCAACCUUGGCUGCUUAACCCCAUCCCUGGAGCACAUCCUGCAGAAUCCUCUGCUGCCCGAUUCCACCGCACCCACUCUUCACUGCGGUGCGUCGUAUAACUGUGCACUGGAGUCCUCAAGGCCCACUUUCGGUGCUUGCAGAGGUACAGAACACUGUACUAUGACCCACUCUUCACGUCGAAGAUCAUCGCAGUUUGUGUCGUGCUUCACAACCUCGGUGUUUGGCAGCAGCUGCCUGAACCAGACGACAUCCCUUGCACUGAAGAACUCGAAUGAGAAUAUGCGGACCUUUACAACAACAAUAGCGACGAUACGGCUGCAGUAGACAUGUA